CCUCCAGAAGUCUGGCAGCGCUGCCAGACCAGUUUAGACUCUGACCUCCAGAACUGCAAGAUAAUAGCUUAGAAGACUCCUCUGCUAUGAAUUUCCACAUAUUUUGGAUGAAGAAUUUGAAGGUCACGUGAUUAAUGAAAUGCCGUAAAUCCUCUUAGGCACUGAUAAAUAGUAACAUAUGCUUCACAUCUUGUGGCAUCAGAGCAUUAGAGCGGACCACUAGCUCAAAGAAACUGGACCAUUCACCAAAUGUGCCUGCACUCAGAAGCCUGCACUAUAGUAUUUAUAGGUCAUAAAGAGAUGCCUAACUCUGAGAUAUAUAUUUUUAUUCUGCAAUGGUUCUGUAUUGAUGAAAUUCCUUUGAAGAAAAUUGCAUAAAGAAAAUGAAUAAGAAUAAAUGCAAG
rnacentral:lncRNA from 1 species